rnacentral:rRNA from 1 species
AUUGAACGCUGGCGGCAGGCCUAACACAUGCAAGUCGAACGGUAACAGGAAGAAGCUUGCUUCUUUGCUGACGAGUGGCGGACGGGUGAGUAAUGUCUGGGAAACUGCCUGAUGGAGGGGGAUAACUACUGGAAACGGUAGCUAAUACCGCAUAACGUCGCAAGACCAAAAAGGGGGACCUUCGGACCUCUUGCCAUCGGAUGUGCCCAGAUGGGAUUAGCUAGUAGGUGGGGUAACGGCUCACCUAGGCGACGAUCCCUAGCUGGUCUGAGAGGAUGACCAGCCACACUGGAACUGAGACACGGUCCAGACUCCUACGGGAGGCAGCAGUGGGGAAUAUUGCACAAUGGGCGCAAGCCUGAUGCAGCCAUGCCGCGUGUAUGAAGAAGGCCUUCGGGUUGUAAAGUACUUUCAGCGGGGAGGAAGGGAGUAAAGUUAAUACCUUUGCUCAUUGACGUUACCCGCAGAAGAAGCACCGGCUAACUCCGUG